AUAUACAAUGGAGUAUUACUCAGCAAUCAAAAAGAAUGAAAUCUUGCCAUUUGUAACUACGUGGAUGGAACUGGAAGGUAUGAUGCUAAGCGAAAUUAGUCAGAGAAAGACAAAUAUCAUAUGACUUCACUCAUAUGAGGACUUUAAGAGAUAAAACAGAUGAACAUAAGAUAAAGGAACACAAAAAUAAAAACAGGGGGACAAAACAUAAGAGACUUUUUUUUUUAAUUUUUUUUUUUUAACAUUUAUUUAUUUUUGAGACAGAGAGAGACAGAGCAUGAACGGGGGAGGGUCAGAGAGAGGGAGACACAGAAUCUGAAACAGGCUCCAGGCUCCGAGCCGUCAGCACAGAGCCGGACGCGGGGCUUGAACUCACUGACCGCGAGAUCAUGACCUGAGCCGAAGUGGGCCGCCCAACCGACUGAGCUACCCAGGCGCCCCUAGAGACUCUUAAAUAUGGUGAACAAACAGAGGAUUACUGGAGGGGUUGUGGGAGGGGGAUGGGCUAAAUGGGUAAGGGGCAUUAAGGAAUCUACUCCUGAAAUCAUUGUUGUGCUAUAUGCUAACUAAUUUGGAUGUGAAUUUAAAAAAAUAAAAUUAAAAAAAAAGAAAAAUGUGAUAAGAUGGUCCACAGUAAUUAACUCAUAUAUAUUAGUAUUUCCCAAUAUGUUAAGGCAAAGGCAGGUAUAUCUACUGAAAAUGCCCAAGGAACAGCUUGAACUUUUUAGGUAGGUUAACCAAUGAAGAAACUUAUAUUCUAUAAUUAAAAUAGAAUCAACUUUUAUCCAGAGAAUGGAGUAAUUUAGCCUUAAUGACUGACAUUUGACAGGGGAGACCAAGGCGCCCCUAAGACGUCUGAUUCUUAAGUUGCACUCUUUACAAUCUUUCCACAAAACUCAUCUCCCAUAGGAAACCAAAUCAAAUCAUUAUUUGAUAUGCCUUAAGGUUACUAAAGAUGAGGAGAAUAAAUUGUUUUAGUGUCUAGACAUUUUCCUUUAACAAAAGUUGUUAAUAUCCUGGUCAGAAACCAUACCUAAUUAUGUGUUCUCUACUGCACUUGGACCUCAAUACCUAUUAAGUAACAACAGCAACAAGAGGGGUGUGUGGUUCCCAGCCUCAUCCCUAGACUGUUGCAAAACUCCUCUGUCACAUGGUAUGCAUAAGCUAAGACUUUCCCAUCCAGUCCAAAUGGAAAUAGUCCAGAAACAAUUCAGUUAUCUUUUACCUGAGGGUCCCAUAUACUGUGGGUAUAGUAAGUAAUUCAUGAAUGUUUAUUUUCCUUGAAAAGUCAAGAUGAGCUUCCUGUGCUUCUGUUUAUGUGUUUUGUUUUGUUUUUACUAUUUGAUCUCUCAUGAACAGUUCAUUGUAGCUUUAUCCAGAAGCCAUUGAAAUGAGAGUUAUCUAAUUAUCUUUGAACUUUACUGCAGUGGCAGAAAUAAUUCUAAGCAUUGUAAUUUGUGUAUUACAUAUCUUAGUGAUGUUAAAGAUGGAAUUUAUUUUCUAAUGUGACCUUGUGGCAUGUACUAUAACCCCCAAAACCCUGUAACUAUAUUUUCUAAUAUGGCACAAAAAAGUAUAUAGACACUUAUUAAAUCUGGAAUUAUGUGAAAAAAAUAAAUAAAAGUUUGCAAGGAUA